CGGAAUGAGAAGAGUCAAAAUCGAAACAAAGUGAUAGUUGGCAUCGACAAAGAUAUGCCUGAUCUAGUUUUGAAUAAAACUUGUUUGAAACACGAACAUGAUAUACGGGUAUUUGAAACGAAAGAUAACAAAAGAGGUGCAAAGGUUGAAGACAUCGCUGUCACUGAUGAAUGUAACAGAAGUACAGAUACAACAUGCGUGAAAGAAAAUCUCCAAUCUCCAAUUCAAGAAACUAAAUGUA